UAGGGAAUCUUCGGCAAUGGACGAAAGCCUGAUCCAGCAAUGCCGCGUGUGUGAAGAAGGUCUUCGGAUUGUAAAGCACUUUCGACGGGGACGAUGAUGACGGUACCCGUAGAAGAAGCCCCCGGCUAACUUCGUGCCAG
rnacentral:rRNA from 1 species